GGUAAGAUUUCAUUUACUUAUUUGUUUUUUUUAUUAUUUCAUUUUAUUUUAUUUUUCUCAUUUGUUUUUAUUUUUAUUUUUAUUUGUUUUUGUCUUUGGCUUGAUGUUAUGAGAUUUGGGCCUAAUUUGCUUAUUGAUAUGGAUUUUGGGCCCAUAUGUUGUUGGUGAUUGAAAUUUGGGCCUAUUAUAUUAGUUGGAUUUGGG
rnacentral:lncRNA from 1 species